rnacentral:rRNA from 1 species
UACGUAGGCAGCGAGCGUUGUUCGGAAUUACUGGGCGUAAAGAGUGUGUAGGCGGUGCUCUAAGUUCGGUGUGAAAUCUCCCGCUUAACUGGGAGGGUGCGCCGGAAACUGGAGUGCUCGAGCGUGGGAGAGGAAAGCGGAAUUCCUGGUGUAGCGGUGAAAUGCGUAGAUAUCAGGAGGAACACCGGCGGUGUAGACGGCUUUCUGGACCGUAGCUGACGCUGAGACACGAAAGCGUGGGUAGCAAACAGG